GUGAAGCGGCAACAGCUCAAAUUUGAAAUCUGGCUCUUUCAGGGUCCGAGUUGUAAUUUGCAGAGGAUGCUUUUGGCGAGGAACCUUCCAAGUCCUCUGGAAUGGGGCGCCAUAGAGGGUGAGAGCCCCGUAUGGUCGGAUUCCGAGCCUCUGUAAAGCUCCUUCAACGAGUCGAGUAGUUUGGGAAUGCUGCUCUAAAUGGGAGGUAAACCCCUUCUAAAGCUAAAUAUUGGCCAGAGACCGAUAGCGCACAAGUAGAGUGAUCGAAAGAUGAAAAGCACUUUGAAAAGAGAGUUAAACAGCACGUGAAAUUGUUAAAAGGGAAGCGUUUGUGACCAGACUUGUGCCUGGCAGCUCAGCCGUCCUUCUGGGCGGUGCAUUCUGCCGGCUCAGGCCAGCAUCAGUUCGUGGUCGGGGAGAAAAACGGUGGGAACGUAGCUCUUCGGAGUGUUAUAGCCCGCUGUAAUACCCUUCCGCGGACUGAGGUUCGCGCAUCUGCAUGGAUGCUGGCGUAAUGGUUAUCAGCGACCCGUCUUGAAACACGGACCAAGGAGUCGUCCUAAUAUGCGAGUGUUAGGGUGUAAAACCCCUGCGCGAAAUGAAAGUGAACGGAGGUGAGAGCUUCGGCGCAUCAUCGACCGAUCCUGAUGUUCUCGGAUGGAUUUGAGUAAGAGCAUAUUGGGCCGGACCCGAAAGAAGGUGAACUAUGCCUGUAUAGGGUGAAGCCAGAGGAAACUCUGGUGGAAGCUCGCAGCGGUUCUGACGUGCAAAUCGAUCGUCAAAUAUAGGCAUGGGGGCGAAAGACUAAUCGAACUUUCUAGUAGCUGGUUUCCGCCGAAGUUUCCCUCAGGAUAGCAGUGUUGAACUCAGUUUUAUGAGGUAAAGCGAAUGAUUAGGGACUCGGGGGCGCUUAUUAGCCUUCAUCCAUUCUCAAACUUUAAAUAUGUAAGAAGCCCUUGUUACUUUGGUGAACGUGGGCAUUCGAAUGUACAACACUAGUGGGCCAUUUUUGGUAAGCAGAACUGGCGAUGCGGGAUGAACCGAUCGCGGGGAUAAGGUGCCGGAGUGGACGCUCAUCAGACACCACAAAAGGUGUUAUCACAUCUUGACAGCAGGACGGUGGCCAUGGAAGUCGGAAUCCGCUAAGGACUGUGUAACAACUCACCUGCCGAAUGUGAUAGCCCUGAAAAUGGAUGGCGCUCAAGCGUCCCACCCAUACCCCGCCCUCAGGGUAGAAGCUUUGCCCUG
rnacentral:rRNA from 1 species